rnacentral:rRNA from 1 species
CGUAGGGCGCGAGCGUUGUCCGGAUUUAUUGGGCGUAAAGAGCGUGUAGGCGGCCAGGUAGGUCUGCUGUGAAAACUCGAGGCUCAACCUCGAGACGCCGAUGGAAACCGUCUGGCUAGAGUCCGGAAGAGGAGAGUGGAAUUCCUGGUGUAGCGGUGAAAUGCGCAGAUAUCAGGAAGAACACCCGUGGCUAAGGCGGCUCUCUAGUACGGUACUGGACGCUGAGACGCGAAAGCGUGGGGAGCGAACAGG